rnacentral:rRNA from 1 species
GGAUAACAGUUAGAAAUGACUGCUAAUACCGCAUAAGCGCACAGGACCGCAUGGUCCGGUGUGAAAAACUCCGGUGGUAUGAGAUGGACCCGCGUCUGAUUAGCUGGUUGGCGGGGUAACGGCCCACCAAGGCGACGAUCAGUAGCCGACCUGAGAGGGUGGCCGGCCACAUUGGGACUGAGACACGGCCCAAACUCCUACGGGAGGCAGCAGUGGGGAAUAUUGCACAAUGGGGGAAACCCUGAUGCAGCAACGCCGCGUGAGUGAAGAAGUAUUUCGGUAUGUAAAGCUCUAUCAGCAGGGAAGAAAAAAGACGGUACCUGACUAAGAAGCCCCGGCUAACUACGUGCCAGCAGCCGCGGUAAUACGUAGGGGGCAAGCGUUAUCCGGAUUUACUGGGUGUAAAGGGAGCGUAGACGGCAUAGCAAGUCUGAAGUGAAAGCCCGUGGCUCAACCGCGGAACUGCUUUGGAAACUGUUAAGCUGGAGUACUGGAGAGGCAAGCGGAAUUCCUAGUGUAGCGGUGAAAUGCGUAGAUAUUAGGAGGAACACCAGUGGCGAAGGCGGCUUGCUGGACAGAGACUGACGUUGAGGCUCGAAAGCGUGGGGAGCAAACAGGAUUAGAUACCCUGGUAGUCCACGCGGUAAACGAUGAAUGCUAGGUGUUGGCGGGCAAAGCCCGUCGGUGCCGCCG